rnacentral:tRNA from 1 species
CUUACUUUAGUUUAAUAAGAAUAGAAGCUUUGGGGGUUUUUGGUCUCCUUGGUUGGAGGAGUUUGG